rnacentral:rRNA from 1 species
AACGAACGCUGGCGGCAUGCCUAACACAUGCAAGUCGAACGAGACCUUCGGGUUUAGUGGUGCACGCGUGCGUAACGCGUUGGAACCUGCCUUUAGGUUCGGAUUAACUCCCCGAAAAGGGUGCUAAUACCGGCUAUUAUAUCCCGUACAAAGUUUUAUCGCCUUUGGAUGGGCUUGCGUUGGCUUAGCUAGUGGUUAGGGUAAAAGGCUACCAAGGCGUCGAUCCAUAACUGGUUUGAGAGGAUGGUAACCCACACUGGGAGUGAGACACGGCCCGGACUCCUGCGGGAGGCAGCAGUGGGGAAUACUGCACUACGGGCGGAGGCCUGAUGCACUUAUGACGCGAGAGUGAUUAAGGCCUUAGGGAUGGAAAGCUCGUUUACCCGGGAUGAUAAUGACGUUACCAAGAGAAUAAGCUCCGGCUAACUCCGUG